UACGUAGGGUGCGAGCGUUAAUCGGAAUUACUGGGCGCAAAGCGUGCGCAGGCGGUCUGUUAAGACAGAUGUGAAAUCCCCGGGCUUAACCUGGGAACUGCAUUUGUGACUGCAUGGCUAGAGUGCGGCAGAGGGGGAUGGAAUUCCGCGUGUAGCAGUGAAAUGCGUAGAUAUGCGGAGGAACACCGAUGGCGAAGGCAAUCCCCUGGGCCUGCACUGACGCUCAUGCACGAAAGCGUGGGGAGCAAACAGG
rnacentral:rRNA from 1 species